CAGUUGCGCUUCAGCAUUAGACCAAAGUAGUUUGACUUUUUAGUUUUUAGCCGCGAAGCGAAUAGUAUAUACGUGGCUCUGUGUGUGUGUGCGGUGUGUGUUGUGGCAGCUGCACUUGCAGCGAGAGACAGAAAUACAUUUCGUACAAAAUUCCGCCCUGCAUUUAGUAUAUUUCACCUUAGAGCGUCUUUGCCACACACACACUUGUUACCACUCACACACUGGCAAGCGAGAACAAGACACACACGUGGCCAUCAAAGCGGUAUCGGUUCGCGUCGCGUUUGGCCUAAAAUUGUAACAGUUUUCCUUUUACAACAACGAAGAAUACCAGAAGAAGCAAAGCCAAAAACGCAGCUGCAGUUGACGUCGACGCAGUGUUAGCUGCUGCCAUCGCUGCUGCAGUCGCCGACGUCCGUUUCUGUUUGGCCCAUUGCCGUUGGCCAGCUUCAGUGUUCAUUUCCCCAUCGAGUCGGCAACAACGAGCGGAAGUCGCAGAGGCCCACAGCCAACGAACAGUCGAUCGAUCCCCAGCUGAACAGCUGAUUAACUGCGUACCCCCACCCCCUCCCGUCCCCACAACCCAUAGUGUGAUUUUGUACCCCUGGAUUGCAUAAACCCACAAGCAGAAACGGAAACAGCAAUACACCAGCACCAACACUAAGCUAAACCCUCAUCAAAAUCCAAAAACCAAGCGGGUCUUGGCUUUUUCGGUGGCGUAUACGUAAUAUCAGUCGACUAGCUGCACAUCUGCCAUUGCAAUUGCGAUUCUCUGGGCAUUAUGCAAUGGCACAACAAAGAGGCACCCUGUAAUUCAAGCAACAACAACACAAAAACAAUAGAAGUGCAAUGCGAACACAUUUUCGCUAACUCACACACACAUUGUCAAGCAGUUUUUUUGUGUGUCUAGUCGGGCAAUUUGUUUAAAACAAUCAGCUGCCUUUUUGCUUUCGUUCGCACAGCGGCAGUUUUAAAUUUAGUAUCGCUGCAGUCGCUUGUAACCCAAAUUUUUUGCAUCCCUCUCUCUCUCUCAUUUGCUGUGCAAAUCGUUUUCAUCAUCUUAUAUAAGAAAUGAAGCUCAAAAUACCCCGGAUUUAAUUGUGGAAUAGGUUAUAGACGCUUGACAAGUAAAAAUCUUAAUUAAAGCCCGACUUGCGGCGACUUGAAAGUGUGGAUAAAUUCAGGCAAGGCAAUUAAAUCGGAGGCACUUGCAAUCCGAGAGCAACAACUCAUACUCAGUCACUUGACCUUGCACAGUUUUCGCCAUGCGAGCGCACAGUAUGCAGUAUAUAGUACAUAUACGUACCGUGGGCCCACAUACAUAUACACAUGUACAUAUGUAUGUGUAGGGGUACACACAAAGCAAAUUGCAAUAUUUUGUGUAAAAAUAACGAACAGACUUUUACAUAAGGCCAUCGUUUACAUAGAGAAGCACAAAAAUUUACACACAGUCGAAUCGCCAUUCACCUGCUGUGGUGUGCGUGUGUGGAUGUGUUAUGUGGGUGGGUGUUAUGAGGUCGAUUUUUGUUAUUUUUCCCCCUUACUCGUGUGGGUGGAUGACUGAAAAAUGCAUUUGACACAGAAAACAGGCGUGCAAACACAAACAGAUAUAGAAGAGGCAGAUAUUUCCAAAGCCAAUGCAAAUUCAAAACGAAUAGAAACCAAUGAGGAAUCAGCUUAUCUUGACCAGAGAAAUACGAAAAUAUUUCAGUGAUUCAUGGCGAAAAUCCCCGUUUGAUUGAUUUGAUGUCAAGAUGAAGUGGCAAAAAAAUACCAGUUUAAAGCUUAUUUUAGCCUUCUGAAAAUUGAACAAAAACUUAUUUAGAUGUUUUUGUACAAAAUCCCUGCAGGUUUUUUUUUUUAAAUAAUUCAUGCAUUUCUCAAUUGGACUUUGAAGUCUGUUUCGUCUUAUAAACACAGAAUGUUGAAUUUAUAAAUAGCUAUAUACUUUGUUUUUAUAAACAUUUGCCAGAGUGCCGCGAAUUUUUGUUGAAUUAACAGUUGGAUUUUGGACCUUAACUGAUAUCAGCAGCCAGAACCAGCAGACUGAAUUUAUCAUCACUAUAUACGUAAACGUGUGUAUUAUGACAUCAUCGUUGGCGGCAUUCUGUGAUGGAUCACUGACUGCCUGACAUACGUAUAUAGUUAGUUAGCUCUACUUAUAUCGUCUUAGACCUCCAAUUUGUCAGUAUACCAGACUAUAGUGAUUAGCACUUGCUGAUAAGCUAGAUUUGUUCAUAUAGAGUUGAAAAAACCCAAAUGAAUCACGUGUUUUACACAACUAUUUUAAAGUUUCGAAAUAUAUUUUUCUUUAAAUGAAAUACGUACAUAUAUAUGGCGAAAUGUUUGGUUGCCUUUUGGCUAACAGCAGCGACCUUCAGCCCGGACCGCAAGGUCGUUCGUGGUGAGAUGAGAAUGCAGCAGCCUGCAAACUACUCCGCAUAGAGGUCGAUCUGCCACCCAACGCUAUGGCAGUUAUAUAAAGGGGAAAUUGGGUCAGUGUUAUGACCCAGUUUCUUGGAAGGAUAUGGAGUUGGAUAGUAGGAAGCUAACCCCCUGCCAUUUGCAGUUUGAUUAGUUUGUAAUGGGCUUUUUGGCACCUUCGAUAAUUACAAUUGGAUGGGCUUCGUGACGCCGCCUAUUGAUUUUUAGUCAGGCCGUCAGCUUAUAUAUGUAUAUAGUAUAGCCAACCUAGAUAACUUUUGCCCCAGAGUAUGAGUAUGGGUAUGGGCAUGGGUAUCUAUUGGAUACACGGCACCAUCCAUGGCCUGGCUGCAGUCGUGAGCUUAGCCAAGGAGCCAAAAAUAAAAAUUCUCUUUUGGCUGCGUGCCAAUUGCAGUGCACAUUGGAUUCGCAAGGGUGUGGAUUGGAGGGCGGUUCAAUUGCAGGCGAAAAUGAAAAGUGAAAUGUUGCCAUGCUAAAACCGAACCAAAAAAAAAAACAAAAUAGCAAGGAGGCGAGAGGCAGAGCUGCAGGGAAAUUUAUCUAUAUUUAUUUGCCAGAAUGCUGACAUUUAUUAGCUUUUCCCGUUGAAUUAAUUCAAAAAGUGCUCUAUAAAUAUGGCUAAAGUGCUGUCCGAUGACAAAUUUAUGGCAGACUGCAUAACUCAUCUAUUACCCACUUUCGAGCCAUCUAUUUCUUUGUGUGUUGCAACUGCAAUGCACUCUUGUGUGUCAUUUGCGCCUGCCACUUAUUACAUCACCGAGUAGGCAAGAAAUACACGAUAGGCACCCAUUCGUAAGGCCUAUAGCUUAUGGCCUAUUACGAUGUGGGUCGACCUGAGCCUGCCUGCCUGCCUGCCUGUCUGCUGCCAACAAAUCUUCACACAAACAAGCGCCCUCUCACAGACACUCGGCUUUAUCGAUGUCUUUUCGGCCAAGUGGCAGUCCGUUUGUUGUUCUUUGCCAAACAGUUUAAACUUUGAUAAAUUCAGUCGUCAGUAAUUCAGGGAAAGUUUCUCAAAGUAUCUGCAUUAUUUAGCUUUACCGACAAAAGUUUUAAGUUCAGAUUCCUAGAAGGCAAAUAAGUUCUAAAAGCAAAAUCUGCAUAUUGCUAUACAUUUUAGAUAGAUUUCGAUCUAUUCUCCCUUCACACACAUUUCCAAGUAUCAAAUGUUUCGAUGGGGGACCUUCCCCCAUUUCCCCAAUUUUUCUUUCAUACGCACGCAGCGCCGAUCUUGUGAUCUUUUGGAAGGUAUCACGCCUUUAACGCAUGACUCAGUUCGUGUUUUGUUCUUUUUAAUUUUAGACGAACAAAACCAAAAGCUAAAAAACGUAUGCUUGAAUAGCGUUCGUCAUUAGUUGGCUGCUGCGUCAAUUGUUGGCUCUGUUAUUUAUACAUAUAAAUGCCGCUGGGGCAGCCACGUAAAUUGUGACGGAAAGCGAGAUAAUUUGAUGGAAUUUCUUACUUCCUAAGCUAAUCGCACGGGCUACACAUUUUCAUAUCGUUCUGUUGCCAGGCGAGCGAUCGAUUUCCGAAAAUUGCUGACGAGAAACGCCCGAAAUCGGAAAUCAUUCACAAAAAUUUGUAGUCAGACCAAGGGCUGUCUUACGUUUUCGACUUGUCUGGCUGUUGUUGUUUUCCGUCUGCAGAUAAAGAAUCGAAUAGCAAACAGUCCGCGUCUGUGAUUACGUAUACGCAGUGUUCGCCCACCGAUAGGUUUCGCCUCCUUUGCGGGUGCGCGCGUGCUUCGGCCUACGAAAUUUCAUGGAUGUAUCUGUAUCUGAGUCAGUCGAGUGUGUAUUUAGCAGAUAAUAAGUGGCAGAGUCAGCGUGCGUGUUUUUUAUUUUGAACGGCUGAUCAUGCGACCCAACGAAACGAAAGGCAGGGUAACGCUCUGUUUGAUACACUUUCAAUGGAUAUAGCGGCUUUAUCAGUCAUUUUAUUUCCAAAUUAAGUUUUUGUUGUAUAGCAAAACUUGUAUGUUGUCUUAGCGCAUAGGUUUAAUUGAACAUGGGGAUUCCACCUUCAUAUUUAACGAUAUUCUUUAGCUCGUGCAAUUCCUGCUCGGCCAAGUCAAACCGUAAUUUAUUUAGGUAGCGUUAGUUUGGUAACACUUCGGGUCACUUCCGGUGACGACAACUUCUUCGAAACUCUGUUUUCUGGCACUGGCAGCUUUUAUGACCCAGAUAAAAGUAAACGUGUUGGCCAGCACGAUGUUGGAAGGGGGUAGGGUCUUAGGAACCGAGGAGGGGCCAAUGGUUCAUGAAGUGCUAAUGAAAAAUGCUCAGCAUUUGCCUAAUGAAAUUAUAACUGAGCCACUAAGUGGGCCAUAAAGAGGAGCGUUGAGCCAAGGGGGUAUUGAGGAGAGAAGGUGUUUUGGGGCAUUUUAGAAAUUUUUCAUUCAACUGCCAGGUCGACCAUGUAACCCAUUUAACGCACAUGGAACCGAGCGAUUUGACUGGCACAUGGAAGCACAUUUGGUUUCUUUAUUCAGUUAACGCUUUGUAAGCUCAUGAGCUAGCUUUUCAUUUAUCAAUACACACUUGCGCACAUACAGCGACACAAAUGAACAAUAAUUUAUUUAAUUGCCCAAGAGCUCUUGUUCUUUCGAAAUUAGAACACUCGCACACACAUUGCACUGCUGGCUGGCACGCGAUUAAAAACUAAAUGGUUACACACACAUUAUGAAUUUUACAAGCUAAAACUGUUUAUUAUCUGCCAGAUAUUUCAAUCCAACUAUAUAUGUAUGUACGGGCAUGUGUAUGCAUAUGGAUGACACAUCGCGUAUACGCAGCGUGUUCGUUGAGUUCCUUAAUUGCGAAAAUUCAGUUUUGCGUUGCUCUCCACUCGAAAUAUAAUGGCUAUGGAUUUUGUUCUGCAAUCAUUGUUAGCAUUGGUCUUGCUCCUUCACUUCUUGCCGUUUUUUGCUUGCUGGGCCCAAUGCCUGCUCAAUGUUUUGGCCUCGUUUUUGGAUUUAUUUUUUUCUGCUUAUGCGCCACACCUCCGAGAGUUAAGUAAAAAGCAGCCAAGCAAGUCGAAAUCGAAGGCUGCAUUUGCCAAACUGUGCCUGUUUUGCCAGAAUUCAAAUGAAUCUCUGCUCCAGAAAACAUUGGGAACUGUUCACAUGCGCUUUCAAAAUUCGGCAACGGAUUAUUUUUUGAGCAAUCAGUUUAUAAUCGCCCUUCUUAUCUUAUCUGCCCCUUGGAAAGUGGGUUGCCAGGGCAUUUUCAUUUCAUUCCAUUUCCGCCCAGCUCUUACCAGCUUAAAUUACGCUGCCCGAUGGGCCGGAGCAUAAAAACUCAGUUCGAUUGACAUUUUGUGACACAAAAACGACUUGUAUAACCGUUCGGCGAUCGACGAUUCACAAUCAUCGAUCCGCAUCGACCCACUUUGUGACACACACCCUUUUGGAGCCCACAUACUAACCUUAUCGCCCCGAUCCGCCGCUGGCUAAGGUUUAUCACUAUCAGCUGCGCACCUUGGCACCUGCGACGAGUGCUUAUCAGCUGUUUGGUGAUCGGGUUCCCAGCUAGCUCAUGGUUCAUUGUACUCGGCUUCACAGUCCGGGUCACACUCCAGUUUCCACCGCACUUUUGUUCUGCAUGAGCCCUCUUUUGUUUCUUUGGAGUUGCACCUUCGAUUUCUGUUCUUUGUCAUAUCCAAUCACCAAGUAAUAGCCAUCCAGGAGAUCGAUAGACUGCCCCACAGAAAUACAAUGAAAAACUUACGCCGCGCCGUGCCGAAUAUGAUUUAUGGUUUUUGUUUCAGUUGAAAAUAUAUAUAUAUACAUAUAUAACGAGGCCUAACGAUAAAAUGCAUCCUUUGAAGGUUUUGGGCUGCGUGUCAGGAGUGCAUUUGCACUGAAACUAUCUGAAGCAUGUAAAUGCACUAUCUGGUACGACAUUCCAGAACGUACAAUCUUCCCGAAUGCAGGAAAAUGCGAUAAAUGAAAUAUGCAAUUUUUGUGAUAGUGUGAAAUACUGAUUCUCAAACUGAUUUUUAAAAGAAAUAGCAAUAAAUAAGUUUACUCUUAAGCUAACCACUUGUUUGUAAGACACUGUUUUUAAAUAAAGAAUACAAUAAAAUAUGGAAUAUCUUCUAUGAAGAGUUUUCAACUGUAUAUCAAUACGAUGUUGUUUUAUUCUACUUUUUCUGCCAAGAGGGAAUAUUUAAGGGCAGCCAACACAAUUAACCGUGGAAAAGCACCGAGAUGAGACCUUCGGGAGCAAGGUUUCCCAGCCACGACAUCGUGCAGCUUGCGAUGACCUUGAGCGCUUCAACUCUAAUUGGCACAAUUAUAAUGAUUGCAGUUGUGCCACGGAGGUUUUUAAUUUGGCUUGCGCACACACUCGUCUAUUACUUAUAACGAAAAUUGUUUAUUUUGAAAACAAAAAGCUAACAUUGCAUAUUUUACAGCGCUAUGAUUUUGACCACUCUUGCCACGCCCCCACCGCUGCCGCCCACAAGAGCUUUUGACGACACGCAGCGUAGCAUAAAAAGCAGCAUACCGUGGAAAUCACCCCCCCCCACCCCAUCACACAUUGGCCAGAAGGUGGCGCUCGAUGCGACAAAAAAGCUCCCCCAAAACUGAAGUUGGUCGCAAAACAUCCGCAAGAUGGUGAAGCUAAAGCGAAUUUGGCUUCUGCACAAGAUAUUCAAAAGUAACCGUUACACACGACUAUUCUCAAUCAAGGAGAAUUAACCAAAUUAGUGAAUUAAUCCAAACAAGUAUUCUUAAUUGGCUAUGCGCUUUGGCAGUGUGGUUAGCUGGUUGUGUAGCCAAUUAUUGCCGUUGACAAUUCACAGCCACUAUCUUCACUGCCGCCGCGACAAGCUAAAGCAACUUAUAAAGGACAUGGCGGAGGAACUGGCUCAUAAUCACAUCGGAUUGUCUGGAAUCUCGUCUAGCACUAGGAAAGAUUUUAGAAAAUGUAGGACCUGUAUCAGAUGGUUAUGGCAGUAGUUAUCAUAUCUAUAAUCUAUUAAAAUAUUUAAAGAAAAUCAUUCACAAUACAUGAAUAUAUAAAUAGCUUAAAUUCCUUUUAGUCGGAAAACUUUAGUUUGGCAACUGCUCAACCAGACGCCUGAACAACGAAUUAAGGAUAUCCAGAUAAUAAUGAAUCAAUUAUAAAGAUUAACCCGCACUAAUUCAUGAAG
ensembl:ncRNA lncRNA:CR43459 long non-coding RNA:CR43459